CCUCAAGUGGCAGCCAAUGAGAGGGAUUCGAUCUAGAUAAUCACAAUCCUGUCUUCAGGAAUGGAGAAGAGAUCAUAAAGUUGAUUGGCAAGACUAUGGUGCUCAAGAUGCAGUGAAUGACCUUGACUUCUUUGAUGUCUAACCAAGCUCUAAAAUGCAACAUCUUUGGGAGUAAGGAGGGCUCAUUCUUUGUACUUUUUUUAUACUCUUCAAUCCACUGACACUGGCCUCCUUGCUGUUCCAUGAAUGAGAUGCUCCAUCUUCUCAGGAAGCAGAUGCAAUGCAUUUGAUGGGAGUACCUGCUGUUCCUGGCUGGAGAAAGAAAUCUUCUUAAUUACAUGUACUCUGAAGUGGAUUAUCUCAAGACAAGAAUUUCACUACUAAUACCAAUGCCAUAAGAGACAUGCAAGACUAUCAGACAGUCAUCUUCUCCAUCUGGCUCCUUGUUUGUCUUGAUGAGGCCCAAGGGAAGUUGAUUACUAUGGAAGAAAUUAUGCUCAUCCUA
rnacentral:lncRNA from 1 species